CUCCGCGUGAGGGAUGAAGGCUCUGGGCUGUAAACCUCUUUUAUCAAGGAAGAAGAUCUGACGGUACUUGAUGAAUAAGCCACGGCUAAUUCCGUGCCAGCAGCCGCGGUAAUACGGGAGUGGCAAGCGUUAUCCGGAAUUAUUGGGCGUAAAGCGUCCGCAGGCGGUCUUUUAAGUCUGUCGUCAAAGCGUGGAGCUUAACUCCAUUUCUGCGAUGGAAACUGGAAGACUAGAGUGUGGUAGGGGCAGAGGGAAUUCCCGGUGUAGCGGUGAAAUGCGUAGAUAUCGGGAAGAACACCAGUGGCGAAGGCGCUCUGCUGGGCCAUAACUGACGCUCAUGGACGAAAGCCAGGGGAGCGAAAGGGAUUAGAUACCCCUGUGGUCCUGGCCGUAAACGAUGAACACUAGGUGUCGGGGGAAUCGACCCCCUCGGUGUCGUAGCCAACGCGUUAAGUGUUCCGCCUGGGGAGUACGCACGCAAGUGUGAAACUCAAAGGAAUUGACGGGGGCCCGCACAAGCGGUGGAGUAUGUGGUUUAAUUCGAUGCAACGCGAAGAACCUUACCAGGGUUUGACAUCCUGCGAAUCUCUUGGAAACGAGAGAGUGCCUUCGGGAACGCAGUGACAGGUGGUGCA
rnacentral:rRNA from 1 species